CUCCCUCCACCUCAACCCGUGCGGGCUGAGCACCGGGUACAGCUUGAAGCUCUUCCUCUCUCCUACUCGCCGCCGUCCCCUCUUCCAAGGGCAGGCGCUGUGGCGGGCGGGGAGUAUCGGCGUUUGCAGGGAAGAGGCUGUAGAGGAGGAAGAGGCUGCCAAACACACUAGGUCAACAGUGAAAAGAGAAACAAAAGUAAUCUCUGCUGCGCUUUUACUGUCUCCCAAAAUGAAGAAAGUGGAUGAGGAUUAAGCCCUGAUCUACCUCUCUGAUGUUGGAUUUCCCCAUCAGCUGUCCUGGUCCCACACCAAGCACCCUAGCUGAAAAAAAAUUACAGAUCAGAGGUGUUUAAAAGGGCCUCAGGCAUUAUUAUUUAGCCAGUCUUAGUCUAUCCAUUGCUGCUAAAUCACCUAUUUUGACAAAUAGGGAAUAUCCACUGCAGAAAUAGUCUAACUGUAUACUGACGUACGAUUUCUUUCUUUCUCCCAUUAGUGUCUUCUGUGGUGCGCAUGUGAAUUGUGAAUAUGGAAUCUGCUACUCAGAAGGAUUCAUAUGGUCAAGUUUUCUGUCUGUUUACUUGCUUGAAUAAAUGUUCUCAAUUUAACACAACAAUUUAUAAUGAAUAUUGUGAAACAAAGUUAAAAGAAUGAGUUCUUGAAAUAGAAAUUGUAAUAAAAUGCUUUUCUCCUCUCCAAAAUAUUUAUUUUAACAUGUGGUUACAUUUUCCUACAUUUUCACAUUAAUUGAAAUCUUAUUGUUCUAGAAAAAUAAAUCUUUUUAUCCCCUUCAUCUAGUUUCCCAGCUCUUACGCAAAUUAGAGAAUACACACACUGGCAUAAUUUGUGGUUUUACAAUGAGAAAGACUGUGUAAAUCCAUGAUAUAUUUGAACCGCAUCGUGCCAAGUAGUGCUCUCACGUAGCCUGUUUUAUAAUUUACCUUUUCACUUCAGCAAAACACCAGCAGUUUUGUGUGAUAAUCCUUUGAUUACCAAGACUUCUAAAAUGUUCUAAACAUCGUUCACCUCCCUCAUUUCUUACAAACUAAUGUUAAUGUUCAAGAAGGAGUUUGUGAGGCUCAGAAAUGUCCACUGAAGCUCCAGAUACUGGAAACAGUCUACAGACAACACAUCCUUUCUAUUUUUUUUUUGAAAUCACCAGGAUAACUAAUUUAUUUUAAAGGAGGCAGGUGCAGGGGGGCACAGAGUACACCCCAGCG